GAGAAAUCGGAACCGAUUGUCGGAGGCGCGAUGCCGCAUGCAACGUCUCAUCAGCGCUUCGGGGGUAUCAAGCCGGGAUAGUAUUGCCCGUCCCCUCCAUAAUACCGUUCGGCGCUGGGCGUCGCCGUUUGUGAGCAC
rnacentral:sRNA from 1 species